UUUGUAGAAUGAACCGGCGAGUUACGUUAUGAUGCGAGGUUAAGUUGAAGAGACGGAGCCGUAGGGAAACCGAGUCUGAACAGGGCGAAUUAGUAUCAUGACGUAGACCCGAAACCAUGUGACCUACCCAUGAGCAGGUUGAAGGUGCGGUAAGACGCACUGGAGGACCGAACCAGGGCACGUUGAAAAGUGCUUGGAUGACUUGUGGGUAGCGGAGAAAUUCCAAACGAACUUGGAGAUAGCUGGUUCUCUCCGAAAUAGCUUUAGGGCUAGCGUCGACAUUAGAGAUUCUUGGAGGUAGAGCACUGUUUGGGUGAGGGGUCCAUCCCGGAUUACCAAUCUCAGAUAAACUCCGAAUGCCAAUGAAUUAUGGUCGGCAGUCAGACUGCGAGUGCUAAGAUCCGUAGUCGAAAGGGAAACAGCCCAGACCACCAGCUAAGGUCCCAAAAUAAUUGUUAAGUGGAAAAGGAUGUGGGGUUGCACAGACAACUAGGAUGUUAGCUUAGAAGCAGCUAUUCAUUCAAAGAGUGCGUAAUAGCUCACUAGUCGAGUGACCCUGCGCCGAAAAUGUACCGGGGCUAAAACAAUUUACCGAAGCUGUGGAUACCUUUAUAGGUAUGGUAGGAGAGCGUUCUAUGUGUGAUGAAGGUAUACCGUGAGGAGUGCUGGAACGCAUAGAAGUGAGAAUGCCGGUAUGAGUAGCGAAAGACAGGUGAGAAUCCUGUCCACCGUAAGACUAAGGUUUCCAGGGGAAGGCUCGUCCGCCCUGGGUUAGUCGGGACCUAAGGAGAGACCGAAAGGUGUAUCCGAUGGACAACAGGUUGAUAUUCCUGUACUAGAGUAUGUAGUGAUGGAGGGACGCAGUAGGCUAACUAAAGCAGACGAUUGGAAGAGUCUGUCUAAGCAGUGAGGUGUGAAUUGAGUCAAAUGCUUAAUUCUAUAACAUUGAGCUGUGAUGGGGAGCGAAGUUUAGUAGCGAAGUUAGUGACGUCACACUGCCAAGAAAAGCUUCUAGCGUUUAAACAUACUCUACCCGUACCGCAAACCGACACAGGUAGUCGAGGCGAGUAGCCUCAGGUGAGCGAGAGAACUCUCGUUAAGGAACUCGGCAAAAUGACCCCGUAACUUCGGGAGAAGGGGUGCUGACUUUAGGUCAGCCGCAGUGAAUAGGCCCAAGCAACUGUUUAUCAAAAACACAGCUCUCUGCUAAAUCGUAAGAUGAUGUAUAGGGGGUGACGCCUGCCCGGUGCUGGAAGGUUAAGAGGAGUGCUUAGCGUAAGCGAAGGUAUGAAUUGAAGCCCCAGUAAACGGCGGCCGUAACUAUAACGGUCCUAAGGUAGCGAAAUUCCUUGUCGGGUAAGUUCCGACCCGCACGAAAGGCGUAAUGAUUUGGGCACUGUCUCAACGAGAGACUCGGUGAAAUUUUAGUACCUGUGAAGAUGCAGGUUACCCGCGACAGGACGGAAAGACCCCAUGGAGCUUUACUGCAGUUUGAUAUUGAGUGUCUGUACCACAUGUACAGGAUAGGUAGGAGUCUAAGAGAUCGGGACGCCAGUUUCGAAGGAGACGCUGUUGGGAUACUACCCUUGUGUUAUGGCCACUCUAACCCAGAUAGGUGAUCCCUAUCGGAGACAGUGUCUGACGGGCAGUUUGACUGGGGCGGUCGCCUCCUAAAAGGUAACGGAGGCGCCCAAAGGUUCCCUCAGAAUGGUUGGAAAUCAUUCGCAGAGUGUAAAGGUAUAAGGGAGCUUGACUGCGAGAGCUACAACUCGAGCAGGGACGAAAGUCGGGCUUAGUGAUCCGGUGGUUCCGUAUGGAAGGGCCAUCGCUCAACGGAUAAAAGCUACCCUGGGGAUAACAGGCUUAUCUCCCCCAAGAGUUCACAUCGACGGGGAGGUUUGGCACCUCGAUGUCGGCUCGUCGCAUCCUGGGGCUGUAGUCGGUCCCAAGGGUUGGGCUGUUCGCCCAUUAAAGCGGCACGCGAGCUGGGUUCAGAACGUCGUGAGACAGUUCGGUCCCUAUCCGUCGCGGGCGUAGGAAAUUUGAGAGGAUCUGCUCCUAGUACGAGAGGACCAGAGUGGACUUACCGCUGGUGUACCAGUUGUCUUGCCAAAGGCAUCGCUGGGUAGCUAUGUAGGGAAGGGAUAAACGCUGAAAGCAUCUAAGUGUGAAACCCACCUCAAGAUGAGAUUUCCCAUGAUUAUAUAUCAGUAAGAGCCCUGAGAGAUGAUCAGGUAGAUAGGUUAGAAGUGGAAGUGUGGCGACACAUGUAGCGGACUAAUACUAAUAGCUCGAGGACUUAUCCAA
rnacentral:rRNA from 1 species